UUACUUUUUAAUUCAGCGUCAUGCCAAAUC
rnacentral:piRNA from 1 species